rnacentral:rRNA from 1 species
GACGAACCGUCCUAACGUUGUUCGGAAUUACUGGGCGUAAAGGGCUCGUAGGCGGCCAACUAAGUCAGACGUGAAAUCCCUCGGCUUAACCGGGGAACUGCGUCUGAUACUGGAUGGCUUGAAUCCGGGAGAGGGAUGCGGAAUUCCAGGUGUAGCGGUGAAAUGCGUAGAUAUCUGGAGGAACACCGGUGGCGAAGGCGGCAUCCUGGACCGGCAUUGACGCUGAGGAGCGAAAGCCAGGGGAGCAAACGGG